UUGCAGCGCAAGGGUUCGAACCCCCAUGCCUCCAACAUUUCAGAAACGUUUUUUAAUUUUUUUGAGAAAUCCCCUUUAAGUUAACCCUAGCAGCCACACCUUUUAUUCAUUCCCCUCUUCUCUCUCUCGUUCCCUUCCCUGCCUCCAGUGUAACCCUAACUAACCCAGUAACAUUCUCGCGCAGCCGAGCCUCCUCUCUGUCUUUCUCAAACUCUCUGUCUCUCUUGGUCUUGAAUCCCAGGCGACCCGCGACGGCGCGACCCUUCUCACUCUCAAUCUCUCACACCUCGCCCUCGCCGUGUGCUUCGGCGACCUCGAACAAGUGAAGGCGAUGAUCCUGAUCCAAGUGGAGCUCACCAACAUGGACCUCAAAUCCAUCUCCUCCAGGUCCUUGCCCGACCCGCAUACCCUCCGAAAGUCCUCUCACCUCAUCGGCCCCAAAGUCCUCCAGAUAGCUUGGGUGAGAGAUCCAGGAAGAGGCGAUGGACCGAUACAUAAUGUUGAUGCCAAUGUUGAAUACUGUUCUGUGAUCAAAACAAAAUUAGGGGCUCAUCGUAUUCUGAUGGGUGCUGAAAUGGAUUGCUGUGAUUCAACUGAUGAUGGAAGGAGGUUUUAUGUGGAAUUAAAGACAAGCCAUGAGUUGGACAACCAUAAGAUAGAGUACGAGUUUGAGAAAGAAAAGCUCCUCAAAUUUUGGGUACAUUACUGUUUUAAAGACAAGCCAUGAGAUAAAAGCUUAAGUUGGUGGAUAUGAAAAUAGUUCAAUUGGUGGAAGAUUGUUCAAGGACUCUCUAUUGACGAGUUCUCGAGGAAGAAGUUGGAUGCAACUGCAGAGGAGCUCAGUGAGGAGAAAGCUUUGGCAUACUCUUGCCUCUCUUAGAUGCUCUUGGCCUUUCCUUGGUGUGGUUGUAAGUUGGCCUCCCUGCAAUGUGUGAGAAAAGCAGCUGAAGUUUUGAAUAAUGCCAUUGUUAAGAUAUGUUAAUGAUGCAGAAGCUGCUUCUGUGGGUUUUACGGUUGUUGAGCCCAAUAUUCUAUUCGGACACUUCGACUUUUUUCUUCUUUUAGUUGCAUAUUUGAAUGGGAUUGUCCCAUUGACGUAAAAUAAUCCAUAUCUGCCUUGAUUCUAAUUUGUUAGUUCUUGUGCU